rnacentral:rRNA from 1 species
UACGUAGGUGGCAAGCGUUGUCCGGAAUUAUUGGGCGUAAAGCGCGUGUAGGCGGCCAUGUAGGUCUGACGUGAAAUUCCGAGGCUCAACCUCGGCAGGUCGUUGGAAACCAUAUGGCUAGAGUCCGGAAGAGGAGAGUGGAAUUCCUGGUGUAGCGGUGAAAUGCGCAGAUAUCAGGAAGAACACCAAUGGCGAAGGCAGCUCUCUGGGACGGUACUGACGCUGAGACGCGAAAGCGUGGGGAGCGAACAGG